rnacentral:rRNA from 1 species
UACGUAGGGGGCAAGCGUUGUCCGGAUUUAUUGGGCGUAAAGAGCGUGUAGGCGGCUUUACAGGUCCGUUGUGAAAACUCGAGGCUCAACCUCGAGACGCCGGUGGAAACCGUAAAGCUAGAGUCCGGAAGAGGAGAGUGGAAUUCCUGGUGUAGCGGUGAAAUGCGCAGAUAUCAGGAGGAACACCCGUGGCGAAAGCGGCUCUCUGGGGACGGUACUGACGCUGAAGACGCGAAAAGCGUGGGGGAGCAAACAGG